GGCCUUACCGAGGGGAGCCCCGACAUGGGGCUGAGAUAUUGCAGAGCCAACAGGCAGCGUAAUGACCCUUUGAACCUGAUCCGGGUUAUGCCGGCGAAGGGACAGGUUUGACUACCCUAU
rnacentral:ncRNA from 2 species